rnacentral:rRNA from 1 species
GAACCCACGCACGUUGAAAAGUGCGGGGAUGAGGUGUGGGUAGGGGUGAAAUGCCAAUCGAACCUGGAGAUAGCUGGUUCUCUCCGAAAUAGCUUUAGGGCUAGCCUCAAGGUAAGAGUCUUGGAGGUAGAGCACUGAUUGGACUAGGGGCCCCUACCGGGUUACCGAAUUCAGUCAAACUCCGAAUGCCAAUGACUUAUCCUUGGGAGUCAGACUGCGAGUGAUAAGAUCCGUAGUCGAAAGGGAAACAGCCCAGACCGCCAGCUAAGGUCCCAAAGUAUACGUUAAGUGGAAAAGGAUGUGGAGUUGCUUAGACAACCAGGAUGUUGGCUUAGAAGCAGCCA